UACGUAGGGUGCGAGCGUUUGUCCGGAAUUAUUGGGCGUAAAGGGCUCGUAGGCGGUUUGUCGCGUCGGGAGUGAAAUCCACUGGCUUAACUGGUGGCUUGCUUUCGAUACGGGCAGACUGGAGGCAUGCAGGGGAGAACGGAAUUCCUGGUGUAGCGGUGAAAUGCGUAGAGAUCCGGAAGAACACCAGUGGCGAAGGCGGCCCGCUGGGCAGUGGCUGACGCUGAGGCGCGCAGGCGUGGGGAGAAACAGG
rnacentral:rRNA from 1 species